CCCGUGGAAAUAUUAUACAGCAAAGAGCGUCCUGUCAGUUAUAUUGAGUCAUCUCUGAAAGUAGCAAUUGAUAUACAUGCUCGUGAGCCAGAAGGUGAUAUCUUAAUCUUUAUGACUGGACAGGAUGAUAUAGAAAAG